rnacentral:rRNA from 1 species
CUUGAGUACUGCAGGGGAGACUGGAAUUCCUGGUGUAGCGGUGAAAUGCGCAGAUAUCAGGAGGAACACCGGUGGCGAAGGCGGGUCUCUGGGCCGUAACUGACGCUGAGGAGCGAAAGCGUGGGKAGCGAACAGGAUUAGAUACCCUGGUAGUCCACGCCGUAAACGAUGGGCGCUAGGUGUGGGUUUCCUUCCAC